ACUAUGUGUUGUUGGGUAGGGGAGCGUUCUGUAAGCCUGUGAAGGUGGCCUGUGAGGGUUGCUGGAGGUAUCAGAAGUGCGAAUGCUGACAUAAGUAACGAUAAAGCGGGUGAAAAGCCCGCUCGCCGGAAGACCAAGGGUUCCUGUCCAACGUUAAUCGGGGCAGGGUGAGUCGACCCCUAAGGCGAGGCCGAAAGGCGUAGUCGAUGGGAAACAGGUUAAUAUUCCUGUACUUGGUGUUACUGCGAAGGGGGGACGGAGAAGGCUAUGUUGGCCGGGCGACGGUUGUCCCGGUUUAAGCGUGUAGGCUGGUUUUCCAGGCAAAUCCGGAAAACCAAGGCUGAGGCGUGAUGACGAGGCACUACGGUGCUGAAGCGACAAAUGCCCUGCUUCCAGGAAAAGCCUCUAAGCAUCAGGUAACAUCAAAUCGUACCCCAAACCGACACAGGUGGUCAGGUAGAGAAUACCAAGGCGCUUGAGAGAACUCGGGUGAAGGAACUAGGCAAAAUGGUGCCGUAACUUCGGGAGAAGGCACGCUGAUAUGUAGGUGAAGCGACUUGCUCGUGGAGCUGAAAUCAGUCGAAGAUACCAGCUGGCUGCAACUGUUUAUUAAAAACACAGCACUGUGCAAACACGAAAGUGGACGUAUACGGUGUGACGCCUGCCCGGUGCCGGAAGGUUAAUUGAUGGGGUUAGCGGUAACGCGAAGCUCUUGAUCGAAGCCCCGGUAAACGGCGGCCGUAACUAUAACGGUCCUAAGGUAGCGAAAUUCCUUGUCGGGUAAGUUCCGACCUGCACGAAUGGCGUAAUGAUGGCCAGGCUGUCUCCACCCGAGACUCAGUGAAAUUGAACUCGCUGUGAAGAUGCAGUGUACCCGCGGCAAGACGGAAAGACCCCGUGAACCUUUACUAUAGCUUGACACUGAACAUUGAGCCUUGAUGUGUAGGAUAGGUGGGAGGCUUUGAAGUGUGGACGCCAGUCUGCAUGGAGCCGACCUUGAAAUACCACCCUUUAAUGUUUGAUGUUCUAACGUUGGCCCCUAAUCGGGGUUGCGGACAGUGUCUGGUGGGUAGUUUGACUGGGGCGGUCUCCUCCUAAAGAGUAACGGAGGAGCACGAAGGUUGGCUAAUCCUGGUCGGACAUCAGGAGGUUAGUGCAAUGGCAUAAGCCAGCUUGACUGCGAGCGUGACGGCGCGAGCAGGUGCGAAAGCAGGUCAUAGUGAUCCGGUGGUUCUGAAUGGAAGGGCCAUCGCUCAACGGAUAAAAGGUACUCCGGGGAUAACAGGCUGAUACCGCCCAAGAGUUCAUAUCGACGGCGGUGUUUGGCACCUCGAUGUCGGCUCAUCACAUCCUGGGGCUGAAGUAGGUCCCAAGGGUAUGGCUGUUCGCCAUUUAAAGUGGUACGCGAGCUGGGUUUAGAACGUCGUGAGACAGUUCGGUCCCUAUCUGCCGUGGGCGCUGGAGAACUGAGGGGGGCUGCUCCUAGUACGAGAGGACCGGAGUGGACGCAUCACUGGUGUUCGGGUUGUCAUGCCAAUGGCACUGCCCGGUAGCUAAAUGCGGAAGAGAUAAGUGCUGAAAGCAUCUAAGCACGAAACUUGCCCCGAGAUGAGUUCUCCCUGAGACUUAGAGUCUCCUGAAGGAACGUUGAAGACGACGACGU
rnacentral:rRNA from 1 species